CCAACCUGCCCUCUUCAGGGGGACAACCUUCCGAAAGGGAGGCUAAUCCCGCGUAUAUCGGUUUCGGGCAUCCGAGAUCGAGGAAAGAUCCAUCGGAAGAGGAUGGGCAUGCGGCGCAUUAGCUAGACGGCGGGGUAACGGCCCACCGUGGCGACGAUGCGUAGGGGUUCUGAGAGGAAGGUCCCCCACACUGGUACUGAGACACGGACCAGACUCCUACGGAAGGCAGCAG
rnacentral:rRNA from 1 species